GCUGGGUGGAUUAGUGGCGAACGGGUGAGUAACACGUGAGUAACCUGCCCCUGACUCUGGGAUAAGCGUUGGAAACGACGUCUAAUACUGGAUAUGAUCACUGGCCGCAUGGUCUGGUGGUGGAAAGAUUUUUUGGUUGGGGAUGGACUCGCGGCCUAUCAGCUUGUUGGUGAGGUAAUGGCUCACCAAGGCGACGACGGGUAGCCGGCCUGAGAGGGUGACCGGCCACACUGGGACUGAGACACGGCCCAGACUCCUACGGGAGGCAGCAGUGGGGAAUAUUGCACAAUGGGCGAAAGCCUGAUGCAGCAACGCCGCGUGAGGGAUGACGGCCUUCGGGUUGUAAACCUCUUUUAGUAGGGAAGAAGCGAAAGUGACGGUACCUGCAGAAAAAGCACCGGCUAACUACGUGCCAGCAGCCGCGGUAAUACGUAGGGUGCAAGCGUUGUCCGGAAUUAUUGGGCGUAAAGAGCUCGUAGGCGGUUUGUCGCGUCUGCUGUGAAAUCCCGAGGCUCAACCUCGGGCUUGCAGUGGGUACGGGCAGACUAGAGUGCGGUAGGGGAGAUUGGAAUUCCUGGUGUAGCGGUGGAAUGCGCAGAUAUCAGGAGGAACACCGAUGGCGAAGGCAGAUCUCUGGGCCGUAACUGACGCUGAGGAGCGAAAGCAUGGGGAGCGAACAGGAUUAGAUACCCUGGUAGUCCAUGCCGUAAACGUUGGGCGCUAGAUGUAGGGACCUUUCCACGGUUUCUGUGUCGUAGCUAACGCAUUAAGCGCCCCGCCUGGGGAGUACGGCCGCAAGGCUAAAACUCAAAGGAAUUGACGGGGGCCCGCACAAGCGGCGGAGCAUGCGGAUUAAUUCGAUGCAACGCGAAGAACCUUACCAAGGCUUGACAUACACCGGAAACGGCCAGAGAUGGUCGCCCCCUUGUGGUCGGUGUACAGGUGGUGCAUGGUUGUCGUCAGCUCGUGUCGUGAGAUGUUGGGUUAAGUCCCGCAACGAGCGCAACCCUCGUUCUAU
rnacentral:rRNA from 1 species